CAACAUGGCGCCGGUUUAUACUACGUGAAUUCGUAUCAUCAAAGGGCAUUUUUGUUCACAAAUACCCGCUUAUUUUACGUUAUAAGCGACUGGUUAGCUUUGGAAAUUAUAACUCAAUGGACAGGGAAAACGAUUCUGUAGUAAAGAGAAAAAUACGUGCAGUUAUUGACUUGUGUGAUAUGUUUAAUAAUAUUUGUUCAUUUUGUUGUGAAAGACGGCCGGAAAUUUCGCCACAUCGCUGUACUGGUUCGACUAGGAUAAUGAGACAACGCUUGAAUGAAAGAGCAGCCUGUGUUAAUGGUAA